rnacentral:rRNA from 1 species
GUCGCAUCCUGGGGCUGUAGAAGGUCCCAAGGGUUUGGCUGUUCGCCAAUUAAAGCGGCACGUGAGCUGGGUUCAGAACGUCGUGAGACAGUUCGGUCCCUAUCCGUCGCGGGCGUAUGAGAAUUGAGUAGAGCUGCACCAAGUACGAGAGGACCGGUGCGGACGAAGCUCUGGUGCACCAGUUGUCAUUCCAAUGGCAUGGCUGGGUAGCCACCUUCGGCAAGGAUAAGCGCUGAAAGCAUCUAAGUGCGAAACCAACUACAAGAUCAGUUCUCACUUCAGGCCCGUCAGAGAUGAUGACGUUGAUAGGCGACAGGUGUACGCACAGCAAUGUGUUCAGCCGAGUCGUACUAAUCGGCCGUGUGACUUGAUUUA